ACAUUCUCUCAAGCACAGGGGAGCAUAGAAUAGCAGAGGCCACUGGACUAAUUUCUCACUUUUAAAUCCAGGAAAGGAGCUCUGGAGGCUGGGCAGUCCAAGACGAUGAUGCCUACAGAUUUGGAGGAUUGGAGUCCUGCUUUGUAGACGGCAGUCUUUUCACUGUGUUCUCACUUGGCAGAAAGAGCAAGGGGGUUUCCUGGGGUCUCUUUUGUAAGGUCACUAAUCCCAUUCGUGAGGGCUCUACCUUCAUGACCUGAUCACCUCCCAAAGGCCCCACCUCCUAAAAGCAACACAUUGAGGAAUAGGUGUCAACAGAUGAAUAGGGGGGUGGGGGGCAACAGAAACAUUCAGUCUAUAGAAUCGUGCUUUUGAAUUAGAUUGCAAGUUCCUUUGUAUUACCGUAAUUAUUCUCAUGGGAUAAACAAAGGUUGAAAAAACAUGCAAAGUGUACUGCUUUGCUAGGGCUGCCGUAACAAGAUACCACGGUGGCUUUGAAACAGGAGCAAAGGGGUCAGAACACAACCUUUAAAACAAUGACAUAGCCCUUGAGGAUACAGCAAAAACUGGUUAGAACCAACUAGGUCCAAGAUGGCAGAAGGUUCAACUUCCAGUAGACUAUGAGCCUCACUAUACGCUCACUCUAGUAUUAUACCUUAGCUAAAUGACACACCCACAGGUGCCAUGACAGUUCUGAGGCUGACCAUAAAAGGCCAAAAAGUGGGCGGUGGCCCAAUUCCUGGAAAUCUCCGCCCCUUCCCCGAAAUAGUUGGAAUAAUCCCCCCACUCAUAAGCCUGUGAA